UACGAAGGGGGGCUAGCGUUGCUCGGAAUUACUGGGCGUAAAGCGCACGUAGGCGGCUUCUUAAGUCGGUGGUGAAAUCCUGGAGCUCAACUCCAGAACUGCCUUCGAUACUGGGAAGCUCGAGUCCCGGGAGAGGUGAGUGGAACUGCGGAGUGUAGAGGUGAAAUUCGUAGAUAUUCGCAGGAACACCAGUGGCGAAGGCGGCUUACUGGUCCAUAACUGACGCUGAGGUGCGAAAGCGUGGGAG
rnacentral:rRNA from 1 species